CCUGACCGCGUGCCUGUUGAAGAAUGAGCCGGCGACUUAGAGGAAGUGGCAAUAGGUUAAGGAGUUAUAUCCGGAGCCAAUGCGAAAGCGAGUCUGAAUAGGGCGUAAAUGUCAUUUCUUCUGGACCCGAACCCGGGUGAUCUAACCAUGACCAGGCUGAAGCUUGGGUAACACUAAGUGGAGGGCCGAACCGACCGAUGUUGAAAAAUCGGCGGAUGAGUUGUGGUUAUGCGGAGAAAUUCCAAUCGAACUCGGAGCUAGCUGGAUCUCCCCGAAAUGCGUUGAGGCGCAGCGGCAACGAUGAGCUAUCAUGGGGUAAAGCGACUGUUUCGAUGCGGGCUGCGAAAGCGGUACCAAGUCGUGGCAAACUCAGAAUACAUGGUAAUGCUUUCCGUUAGCCAGUGAGACGGAGGGGGAUAAGCUCCUACGUCAAGAGGGAAACAGCCCAGAUCACCAGCUAAGGCCCCUAAAUGGUCACUAAGUGGAAAAGGAUGUGAGAAUGCUGAAACAACCAGGAGGUUUGCUUAGAAGCAGCCACCCUUGAAAGAGUGCGUAAUAGCUCACUGGUAAAGCGUUUUUGCGCCGAUAAUGGCCGGGACUAAGUGACCUGCCGAAGCUGUGAGAUUUCUAUAAAGAAAUCGGUAGGGGAGCGUUCCGUAUUUGGGUGAAGUUUUCAUGUAAAUGGGAAUGGACAAUUCGGAAGUGAGAAUGUCGGCUUGAGUAACGAAAACAUUGGUGUGAAUCCAAUGCCCCGAAAACCGUUGGGUUCCUCCACUAGGUUCGUCCAUGGGGGGUGAGUCAGGUCCUAAGGCUAGGCCGAAAGGCGUCGUCGAUGGCAAACAGGUUAAUAUUCCUGUACUAAUUCUAUUGGGAACCAAGGGACGAAGAAGACUAAACUGAAACUGCUUUUGGAUUUCAGUGGAAGCGUUUAGGUGUUGAGAGUUAGAAUAAAAACUAUACUUGAGCUAAGGCGUUAUCCCGAUAUAACUCCUCGUGAGUUAUGUCGUCAGUGAUGUCAUACUUCCUAGAAAAGCUUGAACACCAUUAACAAUAGAAUUACCUGUACCUAAAACCGACACAGGUAGGUUGGUAGAGAAUACCAAGGGGCGCGAGAGAACUCUCUCUAAGGAACUCGGCAAACUGGCCCCGUAACUUCGGAAGAAGGGGUGUAUGUUUUAUACAUAUCGCAGUGACCAGGCCCUUGCAACUGUUUAUCAAAAACACAGGUCUCCGCAAAGUCGAAAGACAACAUAUGGGGGCUGACGCCUGCCCAGUGCCGGAAGGUUAAGGAAGUUGGUUAUUCUUUAUUAGAAAAAGCUGACGACCGAAGCCCCGGUGAACGGCGGUCGUAACUAUAACGAUCCUAAGGUAGCGAAAUUCAUUGUCGAGUAAGUUUCGACCUGCACGAAAGGCGUAAUGAUAAGGGCGCUGUCUCGGAGAGAGACUCGGUGAAAUAGACUUGUCCGUGAAGAUGCGGACUACCUGUACCUGGACAGAAAGACCCUAUGAAGCUUGACUGUAUCCUGGAAUUGGGUUCGGGCUUUUCUUGCGCAGCCUAGGUGGGAGGCGUUGAUGGUUUCCUUCCGGGGAAAUCGGAGCCGUCAUUGAGAGACCACUCUGGAAGAGCUAGAAUCCUAAUGGUGAUCUUUGAAUCAAGACACUUGACAGUUUCAGGUGGGCAGUUUAUCUGGGGCGGAUGCCUCCUAAAAGGUAACGGAGGCGUGCAAAGGUUCCCUCAGUCUGGACGGAAAUCAGACAUUGAGUGUAAAGGCAAAAGGGAGCUUGACUGCAAGACCUACAAGUCGAGCAGGGGCGAAAGCCGGCCUUAGUGAUCCGACGGUGCCGUGUGGAAGGGCCGUCGCUCAACGGAUAAAAGUUACUCUAGGGAUAACAGGCUGAUCUUCCCCAAGAGUUCACAUCGACGGGAAGGUUUGGCACCUCGAUGUCGGCUCAUCACAUCCUGGAGCGGCAGUACGUUCCAAGGGUUGGGCUGUUCGCCCAUUAAAGUGGUACGUGAGCUGGGUUCAGAACGUCGUGAGACAGUUCGGUCCAUAUCCGGUAUAGGCGUUAGAGCAUUGAGAGGAACCCUUU
rnacentral:rRNA from 1 species